CAGCAGCCGCGGGAAUACGAAGGGUGCAAGCGUUAAUCGGAAUUACUGGGCGUAAAGCGUGCGUAGGCGGUUUGUUAAGUCUGUUGUGAAAUCCCCGGGCUCAACCUGGGAAUGGCAAUGGAUACUGGCAAGCUAGAGUGUGUCAGAGGAUGGUGGAAUUCCCGGUGUAGCGGUGAAAUGCGUAGAGAUCGGGAGGAACAUCAGUGGCGAAGGCGGCCAUCUGGGACAAUACUGACGCUGAGGCACGAAAGCAUGGGGAGCAAACAGGAUUAGAUACCCCAGUAGUCCCUGUCUCUUAUAC
rnacentral:rRNA from 1 species